rnacentral:rRNA from 1 species
AUGAUUGCAAAGUUGCCUCCUUCAUGGAGGAAUUUCGCCACAACUCUGAAGCAUAAGAGACAGGAGAUAUCAGUUGAAAAUCUGAUUGCAUCUCUUGAUGUUGAAGAAAAAGCUCGGGCUAAAGAUACCACUGAAAAAGGAGGUGAGGUUCAGCCUACUGCUAACAUGGUGCAGAGGUACCCACAGAACAAGAACAAAGGGAAGAACAAACCUGUUGUCAACAAGCCUACCAAGACUACUACCUUCAAGAAGAAGAAGUUCAACAAGGCUGAGCUAGAGUGCUAUGCCUGUGGGAAGCCUGGACACUUUUCCAAGGAAUGCCCUGAACGUGCAGACCGCAGAGGGAAAACAAGCUCCAAGACUGUCAACAUGGUGACCGCUAGCAAUACUGAUGGGUAUGGUAAUCUACCUAUUGUGCUUUCAAUAUUUCAAUCAUCUUCGUGGUGGAUUGAUUCGGGUGCUAACGUUCAUGUGUGUGCUGACAUCUCCCUGUUUACUUCUUAUCAGGUCGCAAGGGAUUCUUCCGUCCUAAUGGGGAAUGGGUCACAUGCUUCUGUUCGUGGCAUUGGCACGGUGGAUCUGAAGUUUACUUCGGGAAAGAUCGUGCAACUAAGGAACGUGCAGCAUGUCCCUACUAUGAACAAGAAUCUAGUUAGCGGCUCCCUUCUAUGUCGAGAUGGAUUUAAGGUAGUUUUAGAGUCCAAUAAAGUAAUCGUGUCAAGAUUUGGACAAUUUAUAGGAAAAGGCUAUGAGUGCGGAGGCUUGUUUCGUUUUUCUCUUUCAGAUUUUUGCAAUAAGUCAAUAAACCAAGUUUGUGCUAGUGUUAAUGAUGAUGCAAGUAUUUGGCACUCUCGUUUAUGUCAUAUUAAUUUUUUAAUGUCUCGGCUAUCCAGCAUGAGUUUAAUUCCGAACUUCACAGUUGCCAAAGGUUCUAAGUGCCAUAGUUGUGUGCAAUCUAAGCAACCUCGAAAGCCUCAUAAGGCUGCCGAGGAGAGAAACUUGGCGCCUCUAGAACUCAUACAUUCUGAUCUUUGUGAGAUGAAUGGUGUGUUGACAAAAGGUGGAAAGAGAUAUUUUAUGACUUUGAUUGAUGAUGCGACUAGAUUUUGCUAUGUUUAUUUGUUGCAAACUAAAGAUGAAGCAUUAGACUACUUUAAAAUCUAUAAAGCUGAAGUUGAAAAUCAACUAGAGAGAAAGAUCAAGCGUCUUAGGUCCGAUCGUGGUGGAGAGUAUUUUCCAAAAGUUUUUGAUGAAUUUUGUGAGGAACAUGGUAUUAUUCAUGAGAGGACGCCUCCCUAUUCACCUCAAUCAAAUGGAGUGGCCGAGAGGAAAAACCGCACAUUGACUGACUUGGUGAAUGCCAUGUUAGACACUGCUGGUUUAUCUAAGGCAUGGUGGGGGGAGGCUCUAUUGACUUCAUGUCAUGUCCUGAAUAGAGUUCCCAACAAUAAUAAAGAGAAAACCCCUUAUGAGGAGUGGGUUGGGAGAAAACCAUCACUUUCUUAUUUGCGCACUUGGGGAUGUUUGGCAAAGGUCAAUAUUCCUAUUCCUAAGAAAUGCAAACUUGGACCAAAGACAGUGGAUUGUGUCUUUCUAGGGUAUGCUCAACGGAGCAUUGCUUAUAGGUUUUUAGUGGUAAAAUCUGAAGUACCUGAUAUGCAUGUUGAUACUAUAAUGGAAUCUCGUGAUGCAACAUUUUUUGAGAACAUAUUUCCUAUGAAAGAUAUGCAUAGCAUUGCUAGAUUUUCUUCUGAGAUAAUUCCUGAAUCUAGUACAACUGAUGAAUAUUUCGAACAAUCACAUGAGGAAGUCCUUGAGAAGGAUAACAAUGAAGUUCCUAGAAGGAACAAGAGACAAAGGAUUGCAAAAUCCUUUGGUGAUGAUUUCAUUGUAUACCUUGUGGACGACACACCCAAGACGAUUGCAGAAGCAUAUGCAUCUCCGGAUGUAGACGAUUGGAAAGAAGCUGUUCAUAAUGAGAUGGACUCAAUUCUUUCUAAUGGAACUUGGGAACUAACUGAUAGACCAUAUGGUUGUAAACCUGUGGGCUGUAAGUGGGUGUUCAAAAAGAAGCUAAAGCCUGAUGAUACUAUUGAUAAGUACAAGGCGCGGCUAGUGGCCAAGGGCUACACUCAGAAAGAAGGCGAAGAUUACUUUGACACCUAUUCACCCGUUGCUAGAAUGACCACCAUUCGAGUGUUACUUUCCUUGGCUGCCUCUUAUGGUCUUAUCAUUCAUCAAAUGGAUGUAAAGACAGCUUUUCUCAAUGGAGAGUUGGAAGAGGAGAUCUAUAUGGAUCAGCCUGACGGGUUUGUGGUAAAGGGUGAAGAGAGAAAGGUGUGCAAGUUGUUAAAAUCUUUGUAUGGUCUGAAACAGGCACCUAAGCAAUGGCAUGAGAAGUUUGAAAGAACUCUGACUUCUGCAGGAUUUGUCAUUAACGAGGCUGAUAGGUGUGUUUACUAUCGCCAUGGUGGGGGCAAUAGUCUCAUAUUAUGUUUGUCUGUGGACGACAUACUGAUCUUUGGUACAAACAUUAAUGCAAUUAAUGAGUAUGUUGAGAAGGUCUUGAACCGAUUCGGUUUUAUGGAUAGCAAGCCUUCUCCAACACCUUAUGAUCCCAGCGUGACACUCAGAAAGAACAAGAAAGAAACGAGAGAUCAAUUAAGAUACUCUCAAAUUGUCGGUUCACUCAUGUACUUAGCUAGCGCUACAAGACCAGCUAUCUCUUUUGCUGUGAGCAAACUGAGUAGGUUCAUGUCCAACCCGGGUGAUGAUCAUUGGCAUGCACUAGAAAGGGUCUUGCGCUAUCUGAGAGGUACUAUGAGUUACGGAAUUACUUAUUCAGGGCAUCCUGCUGUGCUAGAAGGAUAUAGUGAUUCAAAAUGGAUCUCCGAUGUUGAUGUACUUUACGCAACAAGUGGGUAUGUAUUUACUCAUGGUGGUGGCGCAGUGUCAUGGAGGUCUUGCAAGCAAACCAUAUUGACGAGGUCAACUAUGGAAGCAGAAUUAACUGCUUUGGACACAGCUACUGUUGAGGCAGAAUGGCUGCGUGAGCUCUUGAUGGACUUGCCGGUUGUUGAAAAACCUGUACCGGCUAUUCUUAUGAAUUGUGAUAACCAAACACAUGAAAAGACGUUUGAAGUCUGUCAGGAAGUUGAGAAACUCCGGAGUAAUAACUGUUACGUAUAUACAAACAGACAAAAACCUGGCAGAUCCCUUUACAAAGGGACAAUCACGAAAUGUGAUAGAUAUUGCAUCGAGGGAGAUGGGUAUGAGACCCAUAGCAGUCUUGAAAGAACACACCUAUAUGAGUUCUGA